GAGGGUGUAGCUCAGUGGUGGAGCGCGUGCUUAGCGUGCACAAGGUCCUGGGUUCAGUCCCCAGCACCUCCA
rnacentral:tRNA from 1 species